GAUGAACGCUGGCGGCGUGCCUAAUACAUGCAAGUCGAGCGAACAGACGAGGAGCUUGCUCCUCUGACGUUAGCGGCGGACGGGUGAGUAACACGUGGAUAACCUACCUAUAAGACUGGGAUAACUUCGGGAAACCGGAGCUAAUACCGGAUAAUAUAUUGAACCGCAUGGUUCAAUAGUGAAAGACGGUUUUGCUGUCACUUAUAGAUGGAUCCGCGCCGCAUUAGCUAGUUGGUAAGGUAACGGCUUACCAAGGCGACGAUGCGUAGCCGACCUGAGAGGGUGGUCGGCCACACUGGAACUGGGACACGGUCCAGACUCCUACGGGAGGCAGCAGUAGGGAAUCUUCCGCAAUGGGCGAAAGCCUGACGGAGCAACGCCGCGUGAGUGAUGAAGGUCUUCGGAUCGUAAAACUCUGUUAUUAGGGAAGAACAAAUGUGUAAGUAACUAUGCACGUCUUGACGGUACCUAAUCAGAAAGCCACGGCUAACUACGUG
rnacentral:rRNA from 1 species